AGAAAUCCUCAGCAUAUGCAUGUGCGAAAACGUCACAGCAAAACCCAUUCAUUUGUACCAUUAGUUACCUGUUAGUAAAGAAAAUUAAAAAAUACUUUAAAACUUUUAUUUUCAUUCUUAAUGUUUGAAUUGAGAGCAUUUCCCCCAGUGAACCUUUAUUGUCUUGUAACAUAUUAUUAUUUUGACUCUACUAUUCUGCAUUGUUCUGAUCUCUUAAAAGUAGUUUUCUGAUACUGUCGGUCAGGGUGAUAAUCCAAUUUAUGCCAACUAAUGGUAAACAGGAUAAAUAAUGCCAAACUUGUUUAAUAAAUGCAGAAGUACCACAUUUUAAAAUUUUAUUUGCUGAGAGUUUCCUACAUGCUGCGGGGUUCUCUGCAUAUGUUAAAUUUAUUCUUCACACAACAGUCAUCUGUCACCAAGUAGAGGAGGAAAGAGGUCACUUUCUCACAAUCAACUGGCCUCCUGGAGGCUGAGCUGAGACUUAAAUGCGAAUCCACCUGACUUCCCAAAUACCUUCUUUCCUGGUGACUUCAAAGUCUCCAAAAAGAUCUCCAAAGUGCCGAAUGAUUUCUCUGAUUUAAGGAUGCUGAUCCAUAAUAUGCUGCGGGGAAGGGGUG
rnacentral:lncRNA from 1 species